rnacentral:lncRNA from 10 species
GCUGACACCAUCUCUGGUCGACUAUUGACUGGCUGGAACCCACCCAGUCCCUGAAAGAAUACAGAAGCCAGAAGGAAGCCUUGGACGGAAAUAUAAUGGUGAAAGCAGAGGUAAACGCAAGAGCCAGCUCAUGAAUGGUAGAAGUCACUGUAUCAUCUGAUAUCGGACUCUGUCCAUCAGAGCAUCACUUUCUAGAGGAAUUCAGAGUCGACAGUUAAGUCUAGGGCAGAAUUACUCCGAGUUUCUAGGAAGAUGGUGCUAGGCAAUUCUCCACAAGAGAAGAACUUGAACCUUGAACUUCUGAUAUGAGGAUUAAAAAUAACCUUGUUUUUUCAACAGUUAAUACGUUUUAUCUAUCCCAUCUGCAUGGGUUUUCCCACUUUUUAAAAUAUUAAAAUUAUUUGUGAGGAUCACUAAAAUUUUAUUUGUAGCUUGCAGAUGCUUUAAAGAUAGAUCAUAUUACAAUGAUCUUUGUGCAAAUAGUAAGUGAUACAUGCUCAUAACAUGUGCUGAUUGAAUGGAUAAAUGAAUGACAGUGAAUGGAUAAACCAAUGAAAUAAUCCCUCAGUGGAGGAGUAAAGGCGUGUGGGACAGCCUCCUGAUUGUCCACCCAAAAAAGUUCUAUUUAUGGGGAAAUGGUAGGAAUAUCUGAUGGCCAAAAGCAGGAGUAAAUGUCCCAGGACUUUAUUCAAGUGUCAAAUAUCCAAACAAGGUGGACAGUGAUGGUCUCCAUGGCCCACCCCCCUCUCAGCCCACCCUGCCUCAGUCUCCCGAUGUUGCUACUCCUUUUCAUCCAGAUUUAGCUCCACUGCACAUGCCCUGGAAACAGGCCCCUUCUCUGUCAUCACUCCAGGUUAGCUCUGUCCCUCUAAAUGAGACCAAGAGAGACAAGGAUCCCUGUGUGAAAGGGACAGGAGCCACAAGGCAGGAGCCAGGGAGCCCAGUGU